UACAGAGGGUGCAAGCGUUAUCCGGAUUCACUGGGUUUAAAGGGUGCGUAGGCGGGCAGGUAAGUCCGUGGUGAAAUCUCUGAGCUUAACUCAGAAACUGCCAUGGAUACUAUUUGUCUUGAAUAUUGUGGAGGUAAGCGGAAUAUGUCAUGUAGCGGUGAAAUGCUUAGAUAUGACAUAGAACACCAAUUGCGAAGGCAGCUUACUACACAGUUAUUGACGCUGAGGCACGAAAGCGUGGGGAUCAAACAGG
rnacentral:rRNA from 1 species